AUCGCUUCUCGGCCUUUUGGCUAAGAUCAAGUGUAAAAACAUUUGGCUAUAUAUAAAUAGUCAAAUAUGUAAAUAUUGAUAUUUAUACAAAUAUAUAUGUGUAUAUAAACAUAUAUAUACGUGUUUUAGAGAUGGAGUCUUGCUGUGUUGCCCAGGUUGGUGUUGAACUCCUGGUCUCAAGUGAUCCUCC